CGGCGGACGGGUGAGUAACGCGUGGGUAACCUACCCUAUACACACGGAUAACAUACCGAAAGGUAUGCUAAUACGGGAUAAUAUAUUUGAGAGGCAUCUCUUAAAUAUCAAAGGUGAGCCAGUACAGGAUGGACCCGCGUCUGAUUAGCUAGUUGGUAAGGUAACGGCUUACCAAGGCGACGAUCAGUAGCCGACCUGAGAGGGUGAUCGGCCACAUUGGAACUGAGACACGGUCCAA
rnacentral:rRNA from 1 species